UGUGACAGAGGAGGAGCUAAUCCUUCUAACAAUGAUUUUCCUCUUUCACCAAUUGGUCUUGUUGGCCACAGACUUAUUUCUCGCAGUGAUCCUUUCUUGCCUCCUUUAUGCUUUUGCAUUCAUUUCCAUCGCGUUUUUGACCUGCUUCAUUAUCUUCUGGUCCUUCAGCAUCGUGGAGAAGAACAUUGACAUAAAAGGGAGAGCAAUCGUGAUUCUUGUAUCCAACAGCUCAAUUGGAAGGACGUUUGCUAGGAACUUGGAUAAAGCAGGUUUUAGGGUGUCUGCUGCACGCUGGCCUCCUCGAGAGGAGGGAACAACUGCAAAAGAAGAGUGCUCUUCAAGAAUGGAUGUAGCACAGCUCCACAUGACAGACGAUGAGUACCAGAAGACAGUGAAAACCUUCAUAGAAAGCCACUUAUCCCUGAAAGGCACGUAUGGGCUGAUGAAGAAGCCAUCACUGCUGAUAUGGGAAGAAGAGGAACCAGACACAUGCAGGCUACCAGAGAGAAGAACCCCUCAUAAAUGGAAGAAGAUUUUCAGGGUUCCAGCCCUCUGCACCACAGCCCUCUUUUGCCCACUGAACUGUGCCCUGACUUUCCUGAAGAAGAGAGUUCUGCAGCCCUAUGCACUCCUGAAGUCCAAAAACUGAGAGGGAAGGAAUCCCAUGGAGCAACAUGUUAAUAUUCUAACGUCACAAAAAGAAGAUGCUACAGGAAGGAGCACAGCUGGGAUCAAAAAUGAGGGAGAACAUGAGUAGUAACUUCAGUCACGGGACAACGAAAAACUGCAGAUGAAGACAGAAAGCAACUUCUGAACUGUGAGACAGGUCUCUAACUCACUUUCAAGCCAUUUAAUGUGUAAGCAAGAGGACACUGAUGUUUGGGGUUAUUGUUACAAUGCUGCAUACUGGGCAUUGUAGCAUAUGUACAUAUACUACUCACACACACACACACACACACACACAGAAAGAAGAAAAAACAUGAGGUAAAAGAAAAUGAAGGAAUAAUUUCUCUGCAAAGAAAAAAAGCAAGGGCUUAGCUUUCUUCAUCUGAAGCCAUAACUCAGAACUACGUGACUGAUGGUAAGAGAUGCCAUCCACCCAGGAGCUGGAUCCAGAGAGAAAAGAGAAAGCUUUCAGAACAGCUUCUAUAAGGCAUUAAACCAGCUUGAUAUCCAGCCAGAUUGGAAACAAAUAUUUUAAUUCCAGAACAUCACAGCACUGGGAGAGAAACAUGCUAAGGCAGAAAAUUUCUUAAUGAAAACUUUGUGGUUUUUAGUUUAUAUAUUAAAACAAGCAACUUGUUAUACUAAUAGCACCAAUACUGCUUCUGCAGAAUAUUCCACGAAAGGUGUCCUUUAGCCAGAACCCAGUUUGAGCCAAGGCUCUCAACUCAGUUUGUGUCAUUCCAUUCUGUGCAUGCUACCUUGUGCAACACAGAGGACUUGUGUGGGCCACCACCUGCCUACUGCUUUUCCCCCUCAAAGUGUCCUUCACUCAAAGGCCAACAUCUACCUGUGUACAGCAGUCUCUGCUGUCUGAACCUAGAGACACUGUAUGAACAAAUACAUGCUCCCAAAGACUCCACUGGAAAUUUUGCUUGCCCAAGGAUGUGAAGAUGGUCCAUGUUUGUUUAUAAAGUUCCCCAGCCCACUGAGAUGCAGAGAGCUACUCCAUGCAGGCAUGGAAUUGUGACUUGGAGGAAAUACCAUCACAACAUAAACUACAAUACAACUGCACUUUAAAGUGUGUUUAGAACAAAUUUGGUAUAUCCAACUAACACUGAAUUUACAGACUGAAAUUCUGAGAUUCCUGAAGCUGACUAAGGGGUCUGAGUGCCUGGUUGCUUUUCAUUUGAGUGGAAAUGAGAGAUUUGAAUUCCUUAAACCAAACAGAAUGUUUUAGCACUAAUGCAUGUAUUAUUAACUGUGAAUCUAUGACUGAUGCUCCUUCUUCCUUGAUGUUGUAUUCCUACCAAAAAAAAAAAACCCAAAAAACCAACACUAAGACAGCACUCCCAGGUUGAAUACUUGCCAACAUUGUCAUUCUCUCACUAGCACUCUCUCUCCAUUUUUUUCAGGCCCUUUUCUCAAGUUGUUCCUCCUUGAGCAGAGGUUAGCCACACAGCUAGCUCCAAUAAGGCAGAGUCUAGCAUGCAGGUGCUGCUCACCUCCAGACAGUGCCUGGAAGGUGUUUCAAAUAGCCACAGCCUUCCAAAUGAGAAAUGUCCUCAUAUGUGUUUACAGUCUUCCAGAAAAGAAAAACAGAAGGGGAGGAGUAAGAGAAAAGAGAGGACAGGGAAGCAGUAUAUAAUGAUUAGCAUAAUGGGAUUUGCUAUUCUUGUUAAUAGUUUAAUCAAAAUAAACAUUUACUGAACCCUCUUAUGCGCUUGCCAUGAUCAAAGUGCUUUAUAUUUAGCUUAGCACUUGUAAGCCCUGGUUAGCGCUGUCUGCAUCUCUGCUGCCCACUUACUUAGGCAACAAAAAAGCCAGGGAUGAAGCCUAGCACUGGGACCUGCAUUUCCUGACACCUAAAAACCCCACCAUACACAAGUGGUAUUUCCUCAGCUGCAUGCGUGCUGGCUGUGCUGCAUUUGCCAGACAUACGAUACAGAAUAGACAGACCUCAGUGUACGUGGGACUUGCCGUGUACGUGCAAGUGAAGAGCAGGCGUGCUGUGCUCCAAGGCACCACUUGCUCCACCUCUACCAAGGUGGUAGCUAUGCAUGCCUCUCACCUGUGCUGGAGGUGGCCCAACACUUCUAAAGCUUUGUGGUAACACACAGUUGGAUCUUGCACUUCUCAUACAGUCUUUACUAGAGUUAAUCACUUAGCAGCAGCCCCUGCUUUGUGAGUUCAUUAACCAGUUGCUGAAGAAUACAUACAAGAUACAAAAGCAGACAGAUACAGAGGGAUGGGACAGGAUGCUGAUGGCAGGGUGGAAAAAUACACAGUCUCACAGGGCUGAUGGAGUGAGGGUGGGGGUGCCACAAUAGCUUUGUUGGGUUUUGUCCUAGAGCAGUUAUUAUUGCUACUUUGUACCCAAUCAUCUAUUAUAUAUUAUGCUAUGUUCUGUGAUAUGAUACCAAUAUGUUCUGUGGAACCUGAGGCCUUUCUUAUAAUCCUUAUUGUUCAGUUUGAUUUUAGGCAGAGAGAGAGAAAAACUGACUUAAGUAUUUUUUUAAAGACAUGAAAGCAAGUGAUGCUAAAAGCAUGUAAAACCAUCCUGUUGGUUUACCAUUAUACAGCUAAUUUUAACUGGCUUUGAAAUAAGCUGAGAGCAUCUCCAAAUUGAUGACUGCAAAGUGGGGGCGGGAUGGGUGCUAUACUAACAAGACACCCACAGCCCUACAAGGCAGAUUUCCCAGCAGAGCACUUUUCCCCAUUGCAGAGGUUGAGGGAGGGGGACACCUUGUGCCCCCUGUGCCUCCUCCAGCCUGUCUCUAGUGACCUCAGAACAGGGGAAGUUGUGCCAUUUAGAGAUGCUGGUCUCUGAGCAGACACACAUUGCUGUAACAGCAAAUGCCACAGGCAGCAUCUGUCCAAAGAGCCAGGAUACCAUGUUCCAGAACACAGGAACACUAAGACAGGUAGUCACAAGAUUAGUUGGCUGUCACGCAUCUAAUUUAUUUUGGCAUUUCCAAGGGGGAAAAAAAACAGCAAAAACAACUACAGGUGAUACAGCACUGAGAAGCAUGGAAAAAUACAACUGUAAGAAAUCUUGGGAUGUAUUUUAAUUCUAGUUUUUUGGAAAUAACAGGGGGAAAUAGCACCUUUCCAGUGUGCCACUUAGGUGCACUUUGUGCUGCACAGUACCAUAGGUCAAAUCACGCCCAAGACGAGGCCUGAAAGACUUUAAGCUCCUUCCACAAAAACAUAUUCAAAGAGAAGCACAUGCUUAUAACUCUGGAAUACAGAAAGAGUUCUGUUAUAUGCCUUCACACAGUUAGGAGAAUUGGAAUAAUUACAAGCUUAUCAGACCUAAGGGCCACAGGGGAGCAGCAAGCAUGUAACACAAGCUUUUUGCUAGGACUAGAGUGCUCCAACUCCUUGCUUUUUUUCCAGUUGAUGCAAGAGCCUGGCCCCCCUGUAAGCAGCAACAGGAGCCUUAUUGAAUUUGCCAAAGGGGCAGAGAGAAAGCUGAGUGGUUUGGAGUCCUAAUUCUAUGUUCUGGGAGCCAUUUGUGUGCCAGAUAAGCUUUGGGUAACUCUGCU